rnacentral:rRNA from 1 species
AUCCGGGUUGCGGACAGUGUCUGGUGGGUAGUUUGACUGGGGCGGUCUCCUCCUAAAGAGUAACGGAGGAGCACGAAGGUUGGCUAAUCCUGGUCGGACAUCAGGAGGUUAGUGCAAUGGCAUAAGCCAGCUUGACUGCGAGCGUGACGGCGCGAGCAGGUGCGAAAGCAGGUCAUAGUGAUCCGGUGGUUCUGAAUGGAAGGGCCAUCGCUCAACGGAUAAAAGGUACUCCGGGGAUAACAGGCUGAUACCGCCCAAGAGUUCAUAUCGACGGCGGUGUUUGGCACCUCGAUGUCGGCUCAUCACAUCCUGGGGCUGAAGUAGGUCCCAAGGGUAUGGCUGUUCGCCAUUUAAAGUGGUACGCGAGCUGGGUUUAGAACGUCGUGAGACAGUUCGGUCCCUAUCUGCCGUGGGCGCUGGAGAAUUGAGGGGGGCUGCUCCUAGUACGAGAGGACCGGAGUGGACGCAUCACUGGUGUUCGGGUUGUCAUGCCAAUGGCACUGCCCGGUAGCUAAAUGCGGAAGAGAUAAGUGCUGAAAGCAUCUAAGCACGAAACUUGCCCCGAGAUGAGUUCUCCCUGACCCUUUAAGGGUCCUGAAGGAACGUUGAAGACGACGACGUUGAUAGGCCGGGUGUGUAAGCGCAGCGAUGCGUUGAGCUAACCGGUACUAAUGAACCGUGAGGCUUAACCUUACAACGCCGAAGCUGUU